UGAGGAAUAUUGGUCAAUGGGCGCAAGCCUGAACCAGCCAUCCCGCGUGCAGGAAGACGGCCCUAUGGGUUGUAAACUGCUUUUCCAGAGGGCGAAACUCCGGUACGUGUACCGGAUUGACGGUACCCUGGGAAUAAGCAUCGGCUAACUCCGUGCCAGCAGCCGCGGUAAUACGGAGGAUGCAAGCGUUAUCCGGAUUCAUUGGGUUUAAAGGGUGCGUAGGCGGGCUAUUAAGUCAGUGGUGAAAUCCUGCAGCUUAACUGCAGAACUGCCAUUGAUACUGAUAGUCUUGAGUUUGGUUAAGGUAGGCGGAAUGUGUAAUGUAGCGGUGAAAUGCUUAGAUAUUACACAGAACACCGAUUGCGAAGGCAGCUUACUGAGCCGACACUGACGCUGAGGC
rnacentral:rRNA from 1 species